CGUAGUGGCGAACGGGUGAGUAACACGUGAGCAACGUGCCCAAGACUCUGGAGUAACUUCGGGAAACCGGAGCUAAUACUGGAUACGAGACGUAAAGGCAUCUUUAGCGUCUGGAAAGAAUUUCGGUCUUGGAUCGGCUCACGGCCUAUCAGCUUGUUGGUGAGGUAAUGGCUCACCAAGGCGACGACGGGUAGCCGGCCUGAGAGGGUGACCGGCCACACUGGGACUGAGACACGGCCCAG
rnacentral:rRNA from 1 species